AGGAAUAUUGGUCAAUGGGCGAGAGCCUGAACCAGCCAAGUAGCGUGAAGGAUGACUGCCCUAUGGGUUGUAAACUUCUUUUAUAAAGGAAUAAAGUCGGGUAUGGAUACCCGUUUGCAUGUACUUUAUGAAUAAGGAUCGGCUAACUCCGUGCCAGCAGCCGCGGUAAUACGGAGGAUCCGAGCGUUAUCCGGAUUUAUUGGGUUUAAAGGGAGCGUAGGCGGACGCUUAAGUCAGUUGUGAAAGUUUGCGGCUCAACCGUAAAAUUGCAGUUGAUACUGGGUGUCUUGAGUACAGUAGAGGCAGGCGGAAUUCGUGGUGUAGCGGUGAAAUGCUUAGAUAUCACGAAGAACUCCGAUUGCGAAGGCAGCUUGCUGGACUGUAACUGACGCUGAUGCUCGAAAGUGUGGGUAUCAAACAGGAUUAGAUACCCUGGUAGUCCACACAGUAAACGAUGAAUACUCGCUGUUUGCGAUAUACAGUAAGCGGCCAAGCGAAAGCGUUAAGUAUUCCACCUGGGGAGUACGCCGGCAACGGUGAAACUCAAAGGAAUUGACGGGGGCCCGCACAAGCGGAGGAACAUGUGGUUUAAUUCGAUGAUACGCGAGGAACCUUACCCGGGCUUGAAUUGCAACUGAAUGAUGUGGAGACAUGUCAGCCGCAAGGCAGUUGUGAAGGUGCUGCAUGGUUGUCGUCAGCUCGUGCCGUGAGGUGUCGGCUUAAGUGCCAUAACGAGCGCAACCCUUAUCGAUAGUUACCAUCAGGUUAUGCUGGGGACUCUGUCGAGACUGCCGUCGUAAGAUGUGAGGAAGGUGGGGAUGACGUCAAAUCAGCACGGCCCUUACGUCCGGGGCUACACACGUGUUACAAUGGGGGGUACAGAAGGCAGCUACACGGCGACGUGAUGCUAAUCCCUAAAGCCUCUCUCAGUUCGGAUUGGAGUCUGCAACCCGACUCCAUGAAGCUGGAUUCGCUAGUAAUCGCGCAUCAGCCACGGCGCGGUGAAUACGUUCCCG
rnacentral:rRNA from 1 species